GAUGAACGCUGGCGGCGUGCCUAAUACAUGCAAGUCGAGCGAACAGAUGAGGAGCUUGCUCCUCUGACGUUAGCGGCGGACGGGUGAGUAACACGUGGAUAACCUACCUAUAAGACUGGGAUAACUUCGGGAAACCGGAGCUAAUACCGGAUAAUAUAUUGAACCGCAUGGUUCAAUAGUGAAAGACGGUUUUGCUGUCACUUAUAGAUGGAUCCGCGCCGCAUUAGCUAGUUGGUAAGGUAACGGCUUACCAAGGCAACGAUGCGUAGCCGACCUGAGAGGAGGAUCGGCCACACUGGAACUGAGACACGGCCCAGACUCCUACGGGAGGCAGCAGUAGGGAAUUUUCCGCAAUGGGCGAAAGCCUGACCGAGCAACGCCGCGUGAGUGAUGAAGGUCUUCGGGUCGUAAAACUCUUUUAUUAGGGAAGAACAAAAGUGUAAGUAACCAUGCACGUCUUGACGGUACCUAAUCAAAAAGCCCCGGCUAACUACGUG
rnacentral:rRNA from 1 species